UACGUAGGGUGCGAGCGUUGUCCGGAUUUAUUGGGCGUAAAGAGCGUGUAGGCGGCCUGACAGGUCUGCUGUGAAAACUCGAGGCUCAACCUCGAGAUGUCGGCGGAAACCGUCUGGCUAGAGUCCGGAAGAGGAGAGUGGAAUUCCUGGUGUAGCGGUGAAAUGCGCAGAUAUCAGGAAGAACACCAAUGGCGAAAGCAGCUCUCUGGGACGGUACUGACGCUGAGACGCGAAAGCGUGGGGAGCGAACAGG
rnacentral:rRNA from 1 species